rnacentral:rRNA from 1 species
UACGGGGGGGGCAAGCGUUGUUCGGAAUUACUGGGCGUAAAGGGCUCGUAGGUGGCCAACUAAGUCAGACGUGAAAUCCCUCAGCUUAACUGGGGAACUGCGUCUGAUACUGGAUGGCUUGAGUUUGGGGGAGGGACGCGGAAUUCCAGGUGUAGCGGUGAAAUGCGUAGAUAUCUGGAGGAACACCGGUGGCGAAGGCGGCGUCCUGGACCAACACUGACACUGAUGAGCGAAAGCCAGGGGAGCAAACGGG